ACAUAUUGAGUCCUUUGCCUUUUACUUUCAGCCAAUAUGUUUUUGUAAAAAAAUCAAAUAUUUCUGGAAAGAGAUUAAUAAAUUUAAAUCACUUUAGGUUGUUCAUGCAAUUUUGGGACUGAAUAAACAUGGAAUGUAGUAAUAACAUAAAUGUGUUAUAAAGAAUUGAAAUAUCAUCAUUGUUGUUAUCAGAACAUUGAAGGUCUUGACGAGAGUCUGAGUCAAAGGAGGAUUUCUCAAAGCACAAAAAGGAGCUGGUUGCUAAAAUUCUUGGAAGAUACCUCCCUCCUUCCUAUUUGCUCAGCUUCAACUCCUAGAUGGCGUUUCAAGAGAACUGACUUGGCUGUUGAGAGGCAGGAGGAGAAAUGACAGAUGAUAUGAUCCUCGCACAGAAAAGAAGCCUUACAAGGUGACUGCACUGGAACUGACCGAAUAGCAGAGAACAUCAUUUCACCCCAAAGAGCCUGCACCAAUAUUCAUAUCUGGAAACGCCAUUGGCCAGUGUCCUUCUCAGUUCAUCUUUAGUGAUUCUCUUCUCUUUGCUUGUGUCAUUCACUUCCUAGUGUAUUAGUCUUCUCUAGUAGAGUGGAAGUUCCUUUAAUAAAGGGACCGUGCUAACUGGA